UACAGAGGUCCCGAGCGUUGUUCGGAUUCAUUGGGCGUAAAGGGUGCGUAGGCGGCUUCCUAAGUUUGAUGUGAAAUCCUGGGGCUCAACCCUGGAACUGCAUUGAAUACUGGGAGGCUAGAGUACUGGAGAGGAAACUGGAAUUUACGGUGUAGCAGUGAAAUGCGUAGAGAUCGUAAGGAAGACCAGUGGCGAAGGCGAGUUUCUGGACAGUUAC
rnacentral:rRNA from 1 species